CCUACGGGGGGCAGCAGUGAGGAAUAUUGGUCAAUGGGCGGGAGCCUGAACCAGCCAAGCCGCGUGAGUGAAGAAGUAUUUCGGUAUGUAAAGCUCUAUCAGCAGGGAAGAAGAUGACGGUACCUGAGUAAGAAGCCCCGGCUAACUACGUGCCAGCAGCCGCGGUAAUACGUAGGGGGCAAGCGUUAUCCGGAUUUACUGGGUGUAAAGGGAGCGUAGACGGUGAGGCAAGACUGAAGUGAAAGCCCGGGGCUCAACCCCGGGACUGCUUUGGAAACUGCCUGACUGGAGUGCUGGAGAGGCAAGCGGAAUUCCUAGUGUAGCGGUGAAAUGCGUAGAUAUUAGGAAGAACACCAGUGGCGAAGGCGGCUUGCUGGACAGUAACUGACGUUGAGGCUCGAAAGCGUGGGGAGCAAACAGGAUUAGAUACCCUAGUAGUC
rnacentral:rRNA from 1 species